UUGCUCACUUCAGCAGCAUGUAUACUAAAAUUGGAACAAUAUGGAGAAGACUAGCAUGGUCCCUGUGCAAGGAUGACGUGCAAAUUCCUGAAGAGUUCCAUCUUUUU